rnacentral:lncRNA from 1 species
UAUACGCCUUAUUUUUAGUCCAGAUGUUUAGUAUUCGUAUUGUUAUCUUAGAAAGUCUUACUGAUUAAAAUACUACAAUUUAGUAGUGUCAAUCCUGUGAUUAUGACCCGUGUAUAUAGCAUAUUAAUUCUGAAUACACCGUUUGGUGGUGCGCCUGUCAGAUGCGGAACGUACAGAUAAGGUAAUAGGUAACAGGUGAAUAUACUAUUGGUAUCGGUAUCGGACUCGACCCGGAACUUCUUAAUUAUCGGCAAUAUUAAUUACGUGGAAAACAAAAGGGCCUGGAGUGGUGUAAUUUUUAAUCUACACCUUGGUACUAUAUUAGUUAUAUAUAAAGUUGAAUUCU